CAGAGCAAAAACCAAGCCAUGAGGUCGAAGGAAAUGAGCUCUGAGACAGGAUUUUUGUAGGGGUACAGAUGAAAACCUGCUCAGGACCUCAGCUUGAAGGUUCACCUUCCAACAGGGCAACGCAGGAGUGGCUUUGGGACAAGUCUGAAUGUUCUUGAGUGGCCCAGCCAGAGCCCGGACUUGAACCCAAUCGAACAUGGAGAGACCUGAAAAUCGCUGUACAGAAACACUCCCCAGCAAAUCUGACAGAGCUUCAGAGGAUCUGCAGAGGAAUGAGAGCAACUCCAAAUACAGAUCACUACACCGGCUCAGAUACCUGGGAGGGGCAACCUCUUCAUUCAGUAUUCCCUGUAACACUUGGGCUGUAAAGUCCAAAUGCAGAGUGUCUGUACAGGAAGCAGCUCUGUCUUUCUCCCUGAGCCUCUGUUCAUCUGGGUUGUGCUGCAGGACCGCAGCAAGAGAACUAUAUGCAACAUGUAAAGUGUUGGUCCCAUGUUUCAUGAGCUGACAUAAACGAUCCCAUUGGUGCUGAGGAGUCCCUUUUGUGGGGGAUUCGGCGCAUGCGACAAAUUUAGAUUGAUGUUGCGUUUAUUUUUUGUUCAGUGUAGAUGGCUGGCUACUUCUGGGAGAUUGUAAUAAUGAAAACCACAUGCUCACUCAAAGCAAAACAAAGCACGGAUGCGUUUCAAGAGCCUAAGUUAGUUCUCUCUCUGUCUCACUCUCAUGGAAAGUGAGACGGAGACCAAGCUUUCCAUGAAGGAGUUUGCUCAGAAGUUUGCCACCUGGCCAAAGAAGUGUUCAGUGACUGCUACAAGAGCAGUGAGAGCCACUUCUUCACCCUUUUUAAGGAAGUCUCCCAUGUGGGGCGUAGCAGAUGGCCACAGCAGUCGACACCCGCCUCUUCAGCCACCACCAGUAGUGUGAAGUAAAAAUGUUUACGUUUUUUGGGGUAUCUGUACUUUACGUUACCAUUUUCUAUUUGACAAUUUUUACUUUACUACAUUACCAGAAAAUGAUGUGCAUUUUACUCCUUACAUUUUCCCUGAAACACAAAAGUACUUGUAACAUUUUAAAUGCUAAUGUAACGGAUGUGAAACGGCUAGCUUAGUUAGCGGUGGUGCGCGCUAAAUAGCGUUUCAAUUGGUGACUUCACUUGCUCUGAGACCUUGAAGUAGUAGUUCCCCUUGCUCUGCAAAGGCUGCGGCUUUUGUGGAGCGAUGGGUAAUGAUGCUUCGUGGGUGACUGUUGUUGAUGUGUGCAGAGGGUCCCUGGUUCGUGCCCGGGUAUGGGCGAGGGGACGGUCUAAAGUUAUACUGUUACACUAAGCAUGACAGAAAAUGGCCCAAUUCACUCACUUAUCAAUAGAACAUCCCUACUGCCUCUGAUCUGGCUAAAUUCUCUGUUUGUUAAUUAUGUCUGAGUGAUGGCGUGUGCCCCUGACUAUCCGUAAAUAUAUUUUUAAAAAUUAAACACAAAAAUUGUGCCAUCUGGUUUGCUUAAAAUAAGGAUCUUGAAAUUAUUUAUACUUUUGACUUUUACUUUUGAUACUGAAGUAUAUUUCAAACCAAAUACUUUUACUAAAGUAGUAUUUUACUGGGUGACUCUUAUUUUUCUAUUAAGGUAUCUUUACUUUUACUCAAGUAUGACAAUAAGGUACUUACUAAACACAGGGCUCAGAGUUCUUUGCAUGUGUGUGGUUUGUCAUUCCUCUUUAUAAAACUAACCAGGCCCUUUGAUGUCCAGAGUUUGUGUUGGAACAUGGAGGGUUGUUAAUUGAAGUUUCUCAGGACUAACUACUACAUUUUUCUUGAAAUGUUUGUAGAACAAUUGUGCCGUCAAACGAUUCAUACCCCUUGUUUCCACAUUUAGCCUUAGUCUGAAUUCAAAAUGAAUUACCUCACAAUGACAAUGUUGAGCCAUCUUCAGUUUUCUCCUAUUACAGCCAUUAACUUCUGUAACUGUUUUUAAAGUCACCAUUGUCCUCAUGGUGAAAUCCCUGAGUGGUUUCCUUCCUCUCCGGCAACUGAGUUAGGAAGGACACCUGUAUCUUUGUAGUGACUGGGUGUAUUGAUACACCAUCCAAAGUGUCAUUAAUAACUUCACAAUGCUCAAAGGGAUAUUCAAUGUCUGCUUUUUUAAAUUUUAUUUAACCCAUUUACGAAUGUGUGCCCUUUUUUAACGAGGUAUUGGAAAACCUCCCUGGCCUUUGUGGUUGAAAUUCAU